rnacentral:rRNA from 1 species
CCACGGGGGGCUGCAGUGGGGAAUAUUGGACAAUGGGCGAAAGCCUGAUCCAGCCAUGCCGCGUGUGUGAAGAAGGCCUUCGGGUUGUAAAGCACUUUCAGUGGGGAAGAAAGCCUUGGGGCUAAUACCCUCGAGGAAGGACAUCACCCACAGAAGAAGCACCGGCUAACUCCGUGCCAGCAGCCGCGGUAAUACGGAUGGUGCGAGCGUUAAUCGGAAUUACUGGGCGUAAAGCGCGCGUAGGCGGUCUGAUAAGCCGGUUGUGAAAGCCCCGGGCUCAACCUGGGAACGGCAUCCGGAACUGUCAGGCUAGAGUGCAGGAGAGGAAGGUAGAAUUCCCGGUGUAGCGGUGAAAUGCGUAGAGAUCGGGAGGAAUACCAGUGGCGAAGGCGGCCUUCUGGACUGACACUGACGCUGAGGUGCGAAAGCGUGGGUAGCAAACAGGAUUAGAUACCCUUGUAGUC